GUUAAGAUCUUCAGCAGAUGUUUGAGAAAAAAGUCAUCAUCCUCUUCGUCACACUUCAUCCGUAUUUGGGGUAACAAGCACCUGCUUCCCACAAGAGACUGGACCGCUGAAGUCAGACCUGCACCUUCCUUGAACAUGUUGGUAUCUUACUCUGUAUUUGUUCACGGUGGUCACCCCAGGGUCUCAGGACUCAAAUUGAGUGCUCUAUGGAUUAAACAGAAAAUGCAGUAUAAACAAGUGUUAUGUUGUCUUGAACAUGUUGGUAACUUACUCUGUAUUUGUUCACGGUGGUCACCCCAGGGUCUCAGGACUCAAAACGAGUGCUCUAUGGAUUGAACAUAAAAUGUAGUAUAAACAAGUGUUAUGUUUUUAAAUGCCACUAAUAAUGUGUUUCUGUUUUCUUUCUCAUUAUGCUAACAAACACUCUUUUACCCCUCAUGUUAGGUAGAUCAACACUCCAACCAUCUGCAUUAGGGACUGAAUAAAGGAUGCCCUCUGUAGCUGGGAAUGUUAGAUCAGGCGGAUCAACAUUCCAUCCAUCUGCAUUAGGAUCUACCUUAGAGACACUCACUGGAGCUGUAAAUGGGAAGCAGGUCACUUACUUUGCAUUCGUCUUUGGUGGUCACCCCAG